rnacentral:rRNA from 1 species
AUUGAACGCUGGCGGCAGGCCUAACACAUGCAAGUCGAGCGAGCGGCGGACGGGUGAGUAAUGUCUGGGAAACUGCCUGAUGGAGGGGGAUAACUACUGGAAACGGUAGCUAAUACCGCAUACCAUCAGAUGUGCCCCGAUGGGAUUAGCUAGUAGGUGGGGUAAUGGCUCACCUGGGCGACGAUGCCUAGCUGGUCUGAGAGGAUGACCAGCCACACUGGAAAGGAGACACGGUCCAGACUCCUACGGGAGGCAGCAGUGGGGAAUAUUGGACAAUGGGCGCAAGCCUGAUGCAGCCAGGCCGCGUGUGUGAAGAAGGCCUUCGGGUUGUAAAGCACUUUCAGCGGGGAGGCGUUACCCGCAGAAGAAGCACCGGCUAACUCCGUGCCAGCAGCCGCGGUAAUUC